rnacentral:rRNA from 1 species
AUUGAACGCUGGCGGCAUGCCUUACACAUGCAAGUCGAACGGCAGCGGGGGAGAAGCUUGCUUUUCCUGCCGGCGAGUGGCGAACGGGUGAGUAAUACAUCGGAACGUGCCCUGUAGUGGGGGAUAACUAGUCGGAAGAUUAGCUAAUACCGCAUACGACCUGAGGGUGAAAGUGGGGGACCGCAAGGCCUCAUGCUAUAGGAGCGGCCGAUGUCUGAUUAGCUAGUUGGUGGGGUAAAGGCCUACCAAGGCGACGAUCAGUAGCUGGUCUGAGAGGACGAUCAGCCACACUGGGACUGAGACACGGCCCAGACUCCUACGGGGGGCAGCAGUGGGGAAUUUUGGACAAUGGGCGAAAGCCUGAUCCAGCAAUGCCGCGUGUGUGAAGAAGGCCUUCGGGUUGUAAAGCACUUUUGUCCGGAAAGAGAUGGCUCUGGUUAAUACCUGGGGUCGAUGACGGUACCGGAAGAAUAAGGACCGGCUAACUACGUGCCAGCCGCCGCCGUAA